rnacentral:tRNA from 1 species
GGCUCCAUUGUGUAGUGGUUCACGCGCCUGUUUUACAUGUAGAAGGUCCUGGGUUCACGACCCAGGUGGAACCA